UGUGUACUGAAGGUGUCGGCCUGCCCGGAGCAGCGCCCUGUAGAGCUCCAGCACGGCACUGCGAGACCAGCUGCCCAUCAGGGAUCACACAUGGAGAGGAGGGGGAUACCCUUGCUCCUGUGCAAAGGGUGAGCACAAGUAUCUCAGAGAUGGAUUGUGUCCUCCUCCUCCCAGCCUCACUGCAUUGAGGAUAUCAGCCAGUUCAGAGGGUGCAUCAUAGUCUUCCAGACAGAGCCCCAGGUCUUACGCUCCAGAGCUGUGAGGUUGCAAAUGGAUGAAGGAUCAUUUUGUUUCCCUGCCCUGGGUUGAUCCAUUACCUGAGCAAGUUGGUUAUAGAUGUCAAUAAAUGACCGCGCAGAAACUGGCCCACCAGUG